ensembl:lncRNA
GUGAGAUAUACCACAGAUAUUGUAACAAUUAACAAAGGGCUCUGAAACUAAUACUGUACCACUGCCAAGACCUCACAGAGUUUUAGCUGUAAAAGCAGAGGUUUUAACAGGGGACCCAAGCAGAGUUCUGGUUCUAUCUGCAGAGCAUGGCUCAGGACCAGAGAAGUCCAGACCAGGGAGUCACUGAGUAAAAGGUUUUCCAGGAGUAAGGCCAAGAGCAUCAAAACAAACUCCAGGAUGGAUUUCCUCUCUGGGGUUCGUUCAGCAGCUCAUUGUGAAGGGUAAAUACAUAGACAUUUUAGUACGUUGAACUGAAGCCUUGUAGGCUUUAAUCCCAUAACACAAUCUAAACAUUACAAGGGUCUGGUGUUGCUUCAUAAGCCGCUGACACACAAAACAUGUUUCCAGGAAGAUGUUGCAGUUCUCAGAGCAGACUGUGUUUGUGACAACUCAUAACUCAAUGAAGGGGCCGUAUAGAAAGCCUGUUUGAAUUGCACUUAGUAACAAAAUGCCAGUUCAGCUAAAUGUGCAGGUGAGAUGGUCAUUACAUCAUAUUUACACAAUGUACCAAACGGGAACGGUGCUACUCUGCCACAGUGAUACAUAAUGUUUAGUUGACAAGAGCACAAGUGUUGCUUAUGCUCCUCGUCGUUGCCAGAGAGAAAGAACGCGCGCGCAAGAGAGAGCGACAGCGCUCCACACAUGCAUGUAGUCUAGCUGGAACAUUCCAAUCACCUGAGCUACACUAGAGCCUUCCAUGUGGUCUUAAUGGCUGAUGUAUUACCAGAGGAAGAGAGAGAGGCUUGGCAUCACACUCAGGUCCAUAGCUCCCCCCCUCAGCCCCACUGCUCCUUCAGCCCCUGUCUGCGUCCCAAAUGGCACCCUGUUAUCUAUAUAGCGCACCAGAACCCUCGUCAAAAGAAGUGCACUCACUAUAUGCCACUUGGGACGCAGACCCUCCUCACUGGUUGGCUGGCUGCCAUUUGGCUCCGUGGUGAAGACACUCCGCUGGUCACAUGAUACCCCCCUGGGUCUGCUUUACCAGUUUGUUAUUCACAACCCCCCAGGAGAGGAGAGGGGAGGGGCUGAGAUGAGAGGGGAGUGGCUGAGAGGAGAGGGGCUGAGAGGAGGAGGGAGGGGCUAAUAGGUGAGAGGAGGGGCUGAGAGGAGAGGGGCUGAGAGGAGAGGGGAGGGACUAAUAGGUGAGAGGAGGGGCUGAGAGGAGAGGGGCUGAGAGGAGGAGGGAGGGGCUAAUAGGUGAGAGGAGGGGCUGAGAGGAGAGCGGAGGGGCUGAGAGGAGGAGGGAGGGGCUAAUAGGUGAGAGGAGGGGCUGAGAGGAGAGCUGAGGGGCUGGGAGGAGGAGGGAGGGGCUAAUAGGUGAGAGGAGGGGCUGAGCUGUAUACCUGGGACCCAGUGUGACAUAGGCCUUCAGCUGAAAUGUUGUUACACUUCAUUUGAUUUUUUAUUUAACCUUUAUUUAACUAGGCAAGUCAGUUAAGAAUUCUUAUUUACAACGACGCCCUACUUGUAAAGCCCCGUUGGCCAAACCCUCCCCUAACCCAGAUGAUGUCCCUGUGAGACUCCCGAUCACGGCCAGUUGUGAUACAGCCCGGGAUCAAACCUGGGUCUGUAGGGAAGCCUCAAGCACUGCGAUGCAGAGCCUUAGACUGCUGCACCACUCGGGAGGCCAAAUGUGUGGAACUAUUAUGAGGGGAGAACAACUCAUCUAAAACUGUUACCUGGGAAAAUACGAUGAAUGUAUGAACUGAGAGAUGAACAUGUUGUAGCGGCCUACAAUAUACAUCUGAAUUGCAUGCAACGCUAUUUUACUGUAGUACACCACAGCUUGAUGCUCUUAUAGGAACAUCUAAACUGCCACUAGGGGACCCCACUACCUUCAUUACAGUAGCUAAAAAUGGUCCUCCACUCUACUGCUCUCGGUGAAACAUCACAUCAGUUUUAUAUUGUUUCCUAAACUAUUUGGUCGAUUUCGGCUAUUAGUCUGUCAGUCAGUUGAAGCAUUUGAUGUAAACACGAAAACUUCCACAGGACAAGUGCCAGGUGAGAAGUGUCAGUCAAGCGACACUGCCUUUAUACACCCCUUCGCUGUUUUGAUAGAUCCUAUCUGGUCUGGACCACGUCAGUCCGUGUGAGGAAAUUAUAUAUAUAUAUAAAAAAACACUAUUGGAAGGAGGUGAAGUGUAUUUUGAGAGGUUUUGCAGAGAGAUUUAUUGCAUAAAGUCAAG